rnacentral:rRNA from 1 species
UGGGGAAUAUUGCACAAUGGGCGAAAGCCUGAUGCAGCGACGCCGCGUGGGGGAUGACGGCCUUCGGGUUGUAAACCUCUUUUACCACCAACGCAGGCUCCGGGUUUUCUCGGGGUUGACGGUAGGUGGGGAAUAAGGACCGGCUAACUACGUGCCAGCAGCCGCGGUAAUACGUAGGGUCCGAGCGUUGUCCGGAAUUAUUGGGCGUAAAGAGCUCGUAGGCGGCAUGUCGCGUCUGCUGUGAAAGACCGGGGCUUAACUCCGGUUCUGCAGUGGAUACGGGCAUGCUAGAGGUAGGUAGGGGAAACUGGAAUUCCUGGUGUAGCGGUGAAAUGCGCAGAUAUCAGGAGGAACACCGGUGGCGAAGGCGGGUUUCUGGGCCUUACCUGACGCUGAGGAGCGAAAGCAUGGGGAGCGAACAGGAUUAGAUACCCCCGUAGUCC